rnacentral:rRNA from 1 species
CCUACGGGAGGCUGCAGUGAGGAAUAUUGGUCAAUGGCCGCGAGGCUGAACCAGCCAAGUAGCGUGAGGGAAGACGGCCCUACGGGUUGUAAACCUCUUUUGUCGGGGAGCAAAGCGAACCACGUGUGGCUCAUUGAGAGUACCCGAAGAAUAAGCAUCGGCUAACUCCGUGCCAGCAGCCGCGGCAAUACGGAGGAUGCGAGCGUUAUCCGGAUUUAUUGGGUUUAAAGGGUGCGUAGGAGGGUGUGCAAGUCAGCGGUAAAAUUGCGGGGCUCAACCCCGUACUGCCGUUGAAACUGCAUGCCUUGAGUGCACGAGAGGUAUGCGGAAUGCGUGGUGUAGCGGUGAAAUGCAUAGAUAUCACGCAGAACUCCGAUUGCGAAGGCAGCAUACCGGCGCGCAACUGACGCUCAUGCACGAAAGCGUGGGUAUCGAACAGGAUUAGAUACCCUAGUAGUC